AGAACGAACGCUGGCGGCAGGCCUAACACAUGCAAGUCGAACGCCGUAGCAAUACGGAGUGGCAGACGGGUGCGUAACACGUGGGAACAUACCCUUUGGUUCGGAACAACUCAGGGAAACUUGAGCUAAUACCGGAUAAGCGCGAGAGCGGAAAGAUUUAUCGCCGAAGGAUUGGCCCGCGUCUGAUUAGCUUGUUGGUGAGGUAACGGCUCACCAAGGCGACGAUCAGUAGCUGGUCUGAGAGGAUGAUCAGCCACACUGGGACUGAGACACGGCCCAGACUCCUACGGGAGGCAGCAGUGGGGAAUAUUGGACAAUGGGCGAAAGCCUGAUCCAGCCAUGCCGCGUGAGUGAUGAAGGCCUUAGGUUGUAAAGCUCUUUUACCCGGGAGAUAAUGACGGUACCGGGAGAAUAAGCCCGGCUAACUUCGUGCCAGCAGCCGC
rnacentral:rRNA from 1 species